rnacentral:rRNA from 1 species
UAGUACCGUGGAGGAAAGUUGAAAAGAACUUUGAAGAGAGAGUUCAAGAGUACGUGAAACCGUUCAGGGGUAAACCUGAGAAACCCAAAAGAUCGAAUGGGGAGAUUCAUCGUCAGCCGCCUUGGCUUCCGUGUGGCGUGCGAUGACGCGAGACUUCGGUUUUGCGUUACGCCGUCGCUGCGGUAUGUCCGAGGUGGUCGUCGUGCACUUCUCCCCUAGUAGGACGUCGCGACCCGUUGGGUGUCGGUCUACGGCCCGGUUGGUUGCCUGGCGCGUCGCGUUCACGCGCGUUCGUGUCAGACCAUCGGUUGCCCGGCCGGCUGCCUGGCGGUAUUGAACGAUAUUAUCCUUCUGGUAUUGAGCCGCACAAAGUGCGUCCUGGCUCGUCGGCAGGCUCGUCUCACCCGGAUUCACGGACCUAGUGCCGUUGCUGGGUGCUUGGCGUGUCGUUAGUCGGCGAUGUCCUCGGACUGGCUCUUUAUAUUCGCCUCGCGCGGAUAUACCGGUCGGCGACGCUACUGCUUUGGGUACUUUCAGGACCCGUCUUG